UGGGCAAUAUGAUUAUUUACGGUUUCAGCAGUCGAAUUUCAAAUCAAUUCGAUGGUUAUAACCGGAAACAGUGCGGAGGGUACUGCAAACUGAACUGGACUCACUCAAAAAAGCUUGCAGUAAUUAAUUUCGGGCUGCAAUAGAGCAACGGUUGCGAUAAGUGUUUUCAGUGAGCAGUAGUACCAGAAUUUCCAGCGCAUCUCCUCAAUGGGGAACGACCAGUCUACUACGGAUCAGGAGUAUCAGCCGACAAAACUAAAAAUUUUAUUAGAGCGUGUACGGAAUGUCCCCAUGUACACAUCCGCAGAUGGGAACAGGAAAGCUGAAGUGUUUAUCGAACUGUCUUUGGGAGGUGUGGCGUUUACUACACACAGGGUAUUUGCCUCUUUAACCGGCGAGGUCAUUCUGAAGAAGAAAUUCUCGUUUUUUUUGAAGGCUCCACCUCGAUCUCCUUUGACGCUGAAAGUAAUUGAUUAUAAGCUUGGAGAAAUUGGACGAAAGGAAUUGACAUGGGGAGCCAUUCCCCACUACAGAAAAUGGGACUUAUACACCCCCAGUUACCAUUGGACGUUUACGCCGGCGAGGGAUACUAUUUCAAAGUUGAAUAGCGAGGCUACCGAAAACGUGUUUGUGAACCCCGCACCAUGCAAACUUGAAUUCAAGGCCAUUAUUUCGCGCCGAAAAUGCAUACGACCGAAGGUUUCCGUCGUUGUUUGCCCUUGCAUUCGCAUUACGUCCUCUUCAGAGGCUCAGUCGGUUAAGGAAAACUUUCCUCUGGUCGACGAGCGCAUUCGGCGCUGGACGGUCCUGAACUGCAACCUCAAGGAACUGGAGACCGCAACGCGCGCGGUAGUCCACAAGUGGUCCGUGGUAGCUAAUCAGAAUAAUGUUAUUCUUGGCGACAUCUACGACCUAUACGAUCCACAUGAUCGGCGCCAUGCGAAUCGCCAAGCCUUUCUGCGCAGGCACUCUCAGUCUGUUGUUGCACCCGGUCCACCACUCACUAAGAAAGCUGAUGCGAAUAUUUCCCAGCUAGAUAUUACAGUGAUAGGGAACUUGUCGAUGCCAGAUCCAAAUGAAGUUGGAACAUCGAUCUCAGGCCCGGAAGUUCACCCGGUUGUUGAAUCAGCGGAACAGCGGUUCAUCAGUCAGCAGCGCUCGUUCUCGACGGUAAUACGCCUUGCAGACGUUGGAGAGCACGCUGAUUUGAAGACAUUAUUUCUCUGGCGGAGUCUGCCAAACAUUUUAAUGGCAACGGACACAAAAGACACCAUCCUGUCCGAUCUUCUCAACAAAACCACAAACUACUACUACAACCCGUCCGAUUGGCCGCUUAUUUCUCACGUUCAUCCACAUCGUGUUUUGUGUUCUGGAGGGGAGACGGUUACGGUUACAGGACGGCAUUUUGGUCUUUAUCAUACACAACUAGCCAAACUGCUAGUUUGUGGUGUGGACUGUACCGACACUCUACAGUACAUAUCGACCUCUAAAUUCCGUUUUGUAACGAAACCCUGUAUUCCAUGCUGUGGUGAGGUUAAGUUAUGGACGAGUGCCGGACAGAUUAGUGCCAGCAAAGCAACAAUUUGGUUUUACGAUCCGCUUAUGGAAGUGACCAGCACUGAAGAAACCGCUUCCCUAAGAAAAUCACGAAAGCAGAUAAGUUCGCUGGAAAGACUGAAGCAAUACGAAGCUACACUGGAGGAGGAGAUUGUCACCGUGAUAAAAAGUGUUGUCCAUAACGAGCUGUACAAUGACGCGCUGAAGUCUUAUUUGGCCGAUUUAGAGCAGCGAGCAGCGGCUAAUCACCCGGAUAUAUUUCAUGAAUACCGAGUGGAUGUUGACGAUCUAUUGCACCAUCACCACCACAGCUUGGCGUACCACAGAUUGCAUUAGGAAGCGCUAUGUGAAUUUUGCAUCUGUAAAUUGUAACGGCUGCACGAAUUUUUUAGUGUAACCAUUUCUUGGCAAUGAGAAAAAACAUUUUAAUCUUGCCUCUAAUGGCAGUUGAAAAACUUGGUAGACUACCGCAAAGCGGUUUACUGGAGCGAUUCUUUAAAGAAAUGCACUUGUUGUACUACGAGUGAUACCUAUUACCUAAGCAACCCCAUCGAAGUACGGGUCUUUUCUGCAAAGUCAAUGCUAAAAGUACAGUUUGCCAUGACUUUAAAGUUUUGAUCACGUAUACUUUGAUCAUGGGAGACGUUCUUCGUAGCCCUGACCCUAUGCCAUCAAAAAAUGGAACUGCCAAAUUUGCCGGUGAAGACAGCAAUGAAAUCUCGGAAUCGAUAGCCCUGCAUCCACUUAUCUUUGGGCCGGGAGCCCUUUUGCGCAGUUCUCUAUUAUGGUUAGAAGAUGUGGAGCUUGCGAAACAAAACUCCACCAACAGGGUACACUUUCCGCAGUCACCGUCUACAAAGCCAACUGCGGAAGUUAUGCGCACCGGUCUCCAGAAGAAAACGCUUUUGACUGGUAAAAGCUUACAGACAGAUGCGUCGGCAGAUGCGAACCGCAAAUCUAUGUCAUUGCUGAAACAAGCGGCAAAGACAGUAGACAAACCAGAUUUUAAUAGCUUUCGAGAAACAGUAUUCCGACAAUACGAUCGUGCAGCGAAAACCCACCCAGUGUUGACUAAUGAUCAGUCCUCGAAACAACGCGCAGCCGGACGGUCCGACCUUUUUGAUAAUCGUGCUAAACAACUACUUAAUGCCAUGGCUUUAAACCUUUUUGGUAUCACCAGCUCAUUGAAGUUCCUAGGAAGUUUAACAGAAAACUACGUUUCAUCACGACGACUUCGAUCGACGAAACUGCGCCGACAAGCCAAUAUACUCCGGGUCAACGCUAUCAGAACCUUACGAACGAGCCAGGAAGUUGAGAACGUUCUCGCUUUGUGUGCGGAGCAUUUAAGCAACAUGCAGUUUCGAGUUUCCCUGGAACUGAAAGAACUACACCCCUCACUGGCGGAGCGCCUAGACAAAUUCGAGAAAACAUUCCAGAACGAAAUGGAUAGAACUUCCAGUAUGUUCAACAACAUGAACGCAAUGGUUUCCCGAGAAAAUGCAGUUUUAUUUUUGGGCGAAAGGCAACAGUACCAGUUGUCAUACAAGCUAAACUUGGCGAUGAUGGGCGUUGUAGCCAAUUUACGAUUAGCCGCGCAACAAACGCUGGAUCUUUUGAAAUGGUUUCGUCGACAGUAUCACAGCUUUAUCAGGCUUUUUAUGGACCGCAACUGGGAAUACUUCUAUUUAUUUUAUUUUUGUUUAAUAAAUUAUCUUAUUUGGAAAGCUGGUCGCAAAAAUUUACCCGGUUUCAUAACUUUCUACAUGGACGCCAUGGAGUAUUUGGUUCGGUUUUCAUGGACAGCAAAAUUACCAGCGUUAUAUAAACAAAUAUUUAUGGUUAUGUGGAAGCUAGCAGAUAUCUACGGCAUAUUAAUGCUAUUCUCGUUUUUAAUGGAUUUUUUUCUGAAAUUAGUAGUUGACUUCUUCGCACGAGUGCCCAAAUUCUGGCUUAAUCACUUUUAUUGGGCUAUUCGUCCAGCGCUAAUUUGGGUACCUGUGGGAACGUUAAGACUUUUUAUUCCAUUUUUGGAUGCUGUACUAACAACCGGCUUGCAAGUGUGGGAAAUCUGUGUGAGCGAAUUUUAUGAUAAUGUGUUGUCAGACUUUCUACAAGCCAAUGCUACGAGAGCGAUAAUUCUAUGGGUUGCAGAAUAUGAAAACGAAAUAAGACAAUCAAA